UUUAUUUUAUGUGCACCGCAGAUAACUACGUUAAAGUGUAGAUAACAUGUGUACAGUAAGAGUGAGACCUAUCAGCUAGUUGUUAGGGUAAUGGCUUAACAAGGCAGUGACGGGUAACGGUAUUACUUUGUAAUAUUCCGGAGAAGGAGCCUGAGAGACGGCUACUAAGUCUAAGGAUUGCAGCAGGGGCGAAACUUGACCUAUGGAUUUUAUCUGAGGCAGUUAUGGGAAGUAAUAUAUUAUUGUUUCAUAUUUUAAAAAUAUAUGAA
rnacentral:rRNA from 1 species